rnacentral:rRNA from 1 species
AUUGAACGCUGGCGGCAGGCCUAACACAUGCAAGUCGAGCGGAUGAAGGGAGCUUGCUCCUGGAUUCAGCGGCGGACGGGUGUGUAAUGCCUAGGAAUCUGCCUGGAAGGGGGGGAUAACGUCCGGAAACGGGCGCUAAUACCGCAUACGUCCUGAGGGAGAAAGUGGGUGAUCUUCGGACCUCACGCUAUCAGGUUAACCUAGGUCGGAUUAGCUAGGUGGUGGGGUAAAGGCCUACCAAGGCGACGCUACGUAACUGGUCUGAGGGGAUGAGCAGUCACACUGGAACUGAGACACGGUCCAGACUACUACGGGAGGCAGCAGUGGGGAAUAUUGGACUAUGGGAGGAAGCCUGAUCCAAUCAAGCCGCGUCUGUGGAAAAAGUAUUCGGAUUGUGAAGCUCUUCAGGUUGUGAGGAAGGGCAGUAAGUGCAUACCGUACUGUGUUGUCGUUACCAAAAGAAUAAGCACCGGCUAACUUCGUG